rnacentral:rRNA from 1 species
AGGACGAACGCUGGCGGCGUGCUUAACACAUGCAAGUCGAGCGGAAAGGCCCUUCGGGGUACUCGAGCGGCGAACGGGUGAGUAACACGUGAGUAAUCUGCCCCUAGCUCUGGGAUAGCUCCGGGAAACCGGGAUUAAUACCGGAUACGACCACUUUAGACAUCUGUUGUGGUGGAAAGAAUUUUGGCUAGGGAUGAGCUCGCGGCCUAUCAGCUUGUUGGUGGGGUAACGGCCUACCAAGGCGACGACGGGUAGCCGGCCUGAGAGGGCGACCGGCCACACUGGGACUGAGACACGGCCCAGACUCCUACGGGAGGCAGCAGUGGGGAAUAUUGCGCAAUGGGCGAAAGCCUGACGCAGCGACGCCGCGUGGGGGAUGAAGGCCUUCUGAGUUGUAAACUCCUUUCAGCAGGGACGAUAGUGACGGUACCUGCAGAAGAAGCACCGGCCAACUACGUGCCAGCAGCCGC